rnacentral:misc_RNA from 1 species
CCCAAACCCAUGUGAACAUACCUACUGUUGCUUCGGCGGGAUUGCCCCGGGCGCCUCGUGUGCCCCGGAUCAGGCGCCCGCCUAGGAAACUCAACUCUUGUUUUAUUUUGGAAUCUUCUGAGUAGUUUUUACAAAUAAAUAAAAACUUUCAACAACGGAUCUCUUGGUUCUGGCAUCGAUGAAGAACGCAGCGAAAUGCGAUAAGUAAUGUGAAUUGCAGAAUUCAGUGAAUCAUCGAAUCUUUGAACGCACAUUGCGCCCGCCAGUAUUCUGGCGGGCAUGCCUGUCUGAGCGUCAUUUCAACCCUCAUGCCCCUAGGGCGUGGUGUUGGGGAUCGGCCAAAGCCCGCGAGGGACGGCCGGCCCCUAAAUCUAGUGGCGGACCCGUCGUGGCCUCCUCUGCGAAGUAGUGAUAUUCCGCAUCGGAGAGCGACGAGCCCCUGCCGUUAAACCCCCAACUUUCCAAGGUUGACCUCAGAUCAGGUAGGAAUACCCGCUGAACUUAAGCAUAUCAAUAAGCGGAGGA